AGAAGCUGCUAGCAAGUUAGGUGUAGCAAGGCUCUGAGCCCAUCCAGCAAGGAAGGCUGCAUUCUGUCCCCAGAAGGGCAGAAAACCAGCACAAGGGACUGACUGAGGCAAGGAUCAGCCAGACCCUGUGCUACCUAGAAGGAUUUGCUUUGCCCAAGCUGGUGUCUCCAAGGCUAAAAGGGACUGAGCCUGCUGAGGAGAAGCAGGUACUUUGCCACAUAAGCCAGGUUCCCUUCUCCAGGUGGAAGUGAGGCUGCUCUAGUAGAGACAUCUGACAUCUCCAGGUGUUACCAAUGGGUAUAAAGAUUGGAGGGCUGAAGUUGAAGCAUGUGGUUCUUGCAUAGGCUGCCAGCAAAAGUGAUUACAGAUGUAUUAAUUACCUUGGUUAUGUAAAUAUUUGACAUUGGAUUGGAUUUAACAAGGACAAGCUGUAGAAGCCAUGAGGUUCUUAACUUCAUUGUGAAAAGGGCAACAUAUGCGAGGCUUCCAGAAUGGAGGAAGUGGCUAGAGCAGAUGCUUUUGGCUAAGCCCCCAUGUAUCAUCAUGGAGAGAAUGAAGCCUGCAGCCCCGGAAUUCUCUGUCCCCGGCAGGUGCGGGGCCGUGUCUUCUCUCUGGUGCCUGCCGGGGUCCGAGAACACCGGUGCCUGCAGCCCUGGAGAAGCUGGAGAGAAGCCACAGCUCCGUGCCUGCCAGGGACAGAGAAAGCUGG